GAUAAACGCUGGCGGCGUGCAUUAGACAUGCAAGUCGAACGGACUUCUCGGGGCUUGCUCUGAGAAGUUAGUGGCGGACGGCUGAGUAACGCGUAGGUGACCUACCCCGAGUGGGGAAUAACUGCCCGAAGGUGGCUAAUACCGCAUGUGAUCGUAUGUUCAUUCGUACGAUCAAAGCCGUAAGGCGCUUCGGGAGGGGCCUGCGUCCGAUUAGCUCGUUGGUGGGGUAAUGGCUCACCAAGGCGACGAUCGGUAGGUGGUCUGAGAGGACGAUCACCCAGACUGGGACUGAGACACGGCCCAGACUCCUACGGGAGGCAGCAGUCGGGAAUUUUGCUCAAUGGGCGCAAGCCUGAAGCAGCAACGCCGCGUGAGGGAUGAAGGCCU
rnacentral:rRNA from 1 species